UCAAGCUAUAAAGAGCGUAGGGAGAAUGACUUGGCAUCAGGAGCCGAAGAAGGACGUGACAAGCUGCGAAAAGCUGCGGUGAGGAGCAAAUAUCCAUAGACCCGCAGAUAUCCGAAUGGGGAAACCCGGUACGGCAAUACCGUAUCACUGCAUGGUAAAUACAUAGCCAUGUGGAGGAAACCCUCUGAACUGAAACAUCUAAGUAGGAGGAGGAAGAGAAAGAAACAUCGAUUUCCUAAGUAGCGGCGAGCGAAAGGGAAAGAGGCCAAACCAGAGAUAGCAAUAUCUUUGGGGUUGCGGACUGCAAAAUUGAUUCAAUAUUUUUAGCAGAAGUGUAUGGGAAGACACACCAUAGUAGGUAAUAGUCCUGUAAGCGAAAAGGAUAUUGACAAGGCAGGAUCCAGAGUACCACCGGACACGAGGAACCCGGUGGGAAGCCGGGGGGACCACCCCCCAAGCCUAAAUACUACCUGAUGACCGAUAGUGAAAAGUACAGUGAUGGAAAGUUGAAAAGAACCCCGGAAGGGGAGUGAAAAAGAAUCUGAAACCCUAUGUUUACAAGCUGCUAAAGCACCAUAUGAGUGCGAUAGCGUACUUUUUGUAGAACGGUCCGGCGAGUGUAUGUUGCAAGCGAGGUUAAGGUGUUAAGCACUGAAGCCGAAGGGAGACCGAGUGUGAAUAGCGCGUACAGUUUGCAGUAUACGACCCGAAACCGGGUGACCUAACCAUGGACAGGUUGAAGUGGAAGUAAAAUUCCAUGGAGGACCGAACCCACGUCUGUUGAAAAAGGCGGGGAUGAGCUGUGGUUAGCGGUGAAAUUCCAAUCGAACUCGGAUAUAGCUGGUUCUCAUCGAAAUAGCUUUAGGGCUAGCCUCAGGAUAGUUUAGCGGAGGUAAAGCACUGAAUGGGCUAGGGGGCUUCACGGCUUACCGAACCCUAUCAAACUCUGAAUGCCGCAUAAAUGUUUCCUGGGAGUCAGACUGCGUGAGAUAAGUUUCGUAGUCAAAAGGGAAAGAGCCCAGACCUACAGCUAAGGUCCCUAAAUGAAUUUAAGUGGAAAAGGAUGUGCAGUUGCGUAGACAACUAGGACGUUGGCUUAGAAGCAGCCACUCAUUUAAAGAGUGCGUAAUAGCUCACUAGUCGAGUGAUUGUGCGCCGAAAAUGUAACGGGGCUAAAAUUCAUACCGAAGCUUAGGAAUGAUAGUAAUAUUGUUGGUAGAUGAGCGUUGUGUAAGUCUGCGAAGCUACACCGAAAGGAGUAGUGGAGAUAUCACAAGUGAGAAUGCCGGAAUGAGUAGCGAGAAUUAUGUGAGAAUCAUAAUGGUCGAAAAUCUAAGGUUUCUUGAGGAAGGUUCGUCCGCUCAAGGUAAGCCGGGAGCUAAGGCGAGGCCGAGAGGCGUAGUCGAUGCACAUACGGUAAAGAUUCCGUAGCCACCGAAGUCGUUAAAUACAGGGACACAGGAACAUAGCCCAUCCCCACCGUUGGUUGAGUGGGGCGUAAGGGAGCGAAAAUUAGUAGCGAAGUGGGUGAUUGUACACUGGCGAGAAAAGCUGUAUGGAUUGACAAGGUGCCCGUACCGCAAACCGACACAGGUAGAUGAGGAGAGAAUCCUAAGACCAGCGGGAGAAGUGUUGUUAAGGAACUCGGCAAAAUGACCCCGUAACUUCGGGAUAAGGGGAGCCUACGAGAGUAGGCCGCAGAGAAUAGUCUCAAGCGACUGUUUAGCAAAAACACAGGUCUAUGCUAAAUCGAAAGAUGAUGUAUAUGGGCUGACGCCUGCCCGGUGCUGGAAGGUUAAGGGGAAGUGUUAGAGCAAUCGAAGCACUGAACUUAAGCCCCAGUAAACGGCGGCCGUAACUAUAACGGUCCUAAGGUAGCGAAAUUCCUUGUCAGGUAAGUUCUGACCCGC
rnacentral:rRNA from 1 species